CACCAUCUCGGAUCACUGCAGUCUCCACCUCCUGGGCUCAAGCAAUUCUCCCACUUUCUCCUGUAGCCAGGACUACAGGAAUUAACAUUUGUAUCCUUUCCAUGGAAUACUCGUUAAGAAUACAUCAAACGCAUGCGGUACAAAUGAAUACUUCGAGGACAGCCUGAUGAUUACAUGACACCUGGAGAUUUCCAUGGGGACCUGUGUGGCUUGCCGUUCCAGUUCUGUCCUCUCCGGGGCUUGGGAAGGUUCCACCCAGCUGGACCCCGCCCACGGGCCCACCUGGUGCCAUGCAUGGAGAGGUGAACACGGCUCCCAAGGCCAAGCAUGACAGAACUGGGCAGAAAGAGACUCGGACCAUUUUUCAGGAGCGAUGACCAUCUGCGGACAAGGCCAACCAGCCUUCCUGUCCUAAGAGUCCCAUUUGUCCAAUAAAACUACUUAAAUAAAAGC
rnacentral:lncRNA from 10 species